rnacentral:rRNA from 1 species
UACAGAGGGUGCGAGCGUUAAUCGGAAUUACUGGGCGUAAAGCGCACGUAGUCGGCUUUGCAAGUCGGUUGUGAAAUCCCCGGGCUCAACCUGGGAACUGCAUCCGAGACUGCAUUGCUAGAGUAUGGGAGAGGGAAGCGGAAUUUCUGGUGUAGCAGUGAAAUGCGUAGAUAUCAGGAAGAACACCCGUGGCGAAGGCGGCUCUCUGGGACGGUAC